UACGGGGGGAGCAAGCGUUGUUCGGAUUUACUGGGCGUAAAGGGCGCGUAGGCGGCCACCGCAAGUCGACUGUGAAAUCUCCGGGCUUAACCCGGAAAGGUCAGCCGAUACUGCGGGGCUAGAGUGCAGAAGGGGCAACUGGAAUUCUCGGUGUAGCGGUGAAAUGCGUAGAUAUCUGGAGGAACACCGGUGGCGAAGGCGGCAUCCUGGACCGGCAUUGACGCUGAGGCGCGAAAGCCAGGGGAGCAAAGCGGG
rnacentral:rRNA from 1 species